UACGUAGGGGGCGAGCGUUGUCCGGAUUUAUUGGGCGUAAAGGGUGCGUAGGCGGGUCUUUAAGUCAGGGGUGAAAUCCUGGAGCUCAACUCCAGAACUGCCUUUGAUACUGAGGAUCUUGAGUUCGGGAGAGGUGAGUGGAACUGCGAGUGUAGAGGUGAAAUUCGUAGAUAUUCGCAAGAACACCAGUGGCGAAGGCGGCUCACUGGCCCGAUACUGACGCUGAGGCACGAAAGCGUGGGGAGCAAACAGG
rnacentral:rRNA from 1 species